UGGGGAAUAUUGCGCAAUGGGGGAAACCCUGACGCAGCAACGCCGCGUGAAGGAUGAAGGUUUUCGGAUUGUAAACUUCUUUGAUGAGGGACGCACACAAUGACGGUACCUCAAAAACAAGCCACGGCUAACUACGUGCCAGCAGCCGCGGUAAUACGUAGGUGGCGAGCGUUGUCCGGAAUUACUGGGUGUAAAGGGCGUGUAGGCGGGGAUGUAAGUCAGAUGUGAAAUUCCGAGGCUUAACUUUGGAGCUGCAUCUGAAACUACGUUUCUUGAGUGCCGGAGAGGAAAGCGGAAUUCCCAGUGUAGCGGUGAAAUGCGUAGAUAUUGGGAGGAACACCAGUGGCGAAGGCGGCUUUCUGGACGGUAACUGACGCUGAGGCGCGAAAGCGUGGGGAGCAAACAGG
rnacentral:rRNA from 2 species